GCUGACACUGUAGACCUCCAAAAGCAGGACAUGGAGACGCAAUCACCGGUGAUGGGUCUUUUUCUGUUAAUCGUCUUCGUCUCCUGUGUCAAAGCGUGGACAGGUGAAAUCCAUGGAAGAGUUGUUUUUGAUGUCUGUGGUGAUUCAUCCGUUGGACCUGAGGAUCAUAUCUUAGAAGGUCUCUAUCUCUCCUUAGUCUGUUUGUUUAAUUGCGCAUUUGUCUAUGAUAUGUUCCUUAGUUAAAUUUCGAAACUGGUUUUCGUCUUUGGACUUGUAACUGUUGAUGGUUUUGCAAUGGGUUUCUAGUUCUUCUUUGUUGGUUGUUGUAUUGAUAGUUCUUAAAAUUUUUCCUUUGGUCGAUUGAUGUGAUUGAUGCUCUUAUGAGUAUACUUGGUUAAAUUAAUUUAGAUUUGUGAUUGGGAAAUGAUGAAACUGUUUUAAUUAUUUCUUGUAUAGAAAUUUUUUGGUUUUAUUAUUGUCCUUGUAAGUGUUUAUGACUGAUGUUGAUUUGCAGUAUUUGCACAAUUAAGGUUAAGUUGCGCCACAGGGCUUCAAUUCCAUGUUUUAGGAGUUUGAAUGUUUGAUUUCUUUUCAUUUUCUAAAUCUUCCAUGUUUGUUUUGAUUAAUUGGUCUGCACUCUGAAGUUAGAUAUUUGUCCAGAGAUUUGCCAAUGACACAGUAAUAAUUGUUAAUUGCUAAAAUUAGAUUAUGGAUCUUAGAUCAUCUCUUUCCACCUUUCUGUUUACUCCUGGAUUAAAAAAAUAAAACAGAAAAAGAAAGAGAUUGAGAGAGAAAAUGAAUUAAUUUUGAUGAUUGUAGUUAUUUGCUUUGGUGUUUCUUUUGUUCUGGGGGUGUUGUUUCGCUUGAUCAGGAAUUGCAACUUAAUGGGAGUAUGCUAUGAUGAGAUUCUAGGUUAUUGUAUUUCAUGUUCAAUGACCUUUACCCGUCUUCUUUGUUUUUUUAUAAAUUUUUUAGGUCAAAACGGUGCAUAAGCUGAAAAAUGUAGAAAUUAUCACUGAGCAAAUUGGAAUGAGAUUUUCAGUCACUCUAGCAUGAAACUUAUAGAUUUUGAAUCCUGUUCUUGACUUGAAGUCUUUUACUUUUAAAAUUAAUGUUGAAAAUUCAUCAGUCUGUGACAGUCUCCCAUGUGGCUGGAUAAUGUGAUUUGAUUUGGCAGAAAAUUUUCUUCCUAUCCAUUUAAAUCGUUGUUAGGCUUUAGAGAACAUCUUAUUGGUUUUAUUUACAAUGCAAUUGAAUUAUUUUCAUUUCAAAUUUGAUCAUAUAUGGCUAUACAGAGAAAGUUUAUUGGUGAAGUUUGAGUUCUCUGGGUGGCAUAUGCUUGGCUAUGGAGCCUCUUGAUGACUUGAUUCUUUUGAUGGACUAUGGUUUGCUUGUAUUUGUAAUUAAACAUAUAAACAGGCUAGAUUCAUGGAAUUUCCUGAUGACUUUAUUCUUGUGACAUUGGGAAUGCACCAUUACAUUUGUAUAUAUUUAAAAUCUCAACUGCUGGCUAGGAUGGGAUCAGAAAUUGAUUUAGGAAUAAUGAACGGUCUCUGUAGUAUGUUUAAUUCAAUAAGAUGUGAAGUUGGGUAGUCUUGCUUGUUUUGAUGCAGGUGCUGAAGUCGCUGUUCUUUG
rnacentral:misc_RNA from 1 species